GAUGAACGCUGGCGGCGUGCCUAAUACAUGCAAGUCGAGCGAACGGACGAGAAGCUUGCUUCUCUGAUGUUAGCGGCGGACGGGUGAGUAACACGUGGAUAACCUACCUAUAAGACUGGGAUAAAUUCGGGAAACCGGAGCUAAUACCGGAUAAUAUUUUGAACCGCAUGGUUCAAAAGUAAAAGACGGUCUUGCUGUCACUUAUAGAUGGAUCCGCGCUGCAUUAGCUAGUUGGUAAGGUAACGGCUUACCAAGGCAACGAUGCAUAGCCGACCUGAGAGGGUGAUCGGCCACACUGGAACUGAGACACGGUCCAGACUCCUACGGGAGGCAGCAGUAGGGAAUCUUCCGCAAUGGGCGAAAGCCUGACGGAGCAACGCCGCGUGAGUGAUGAAGGUCUUCGGAUCGUAAAACUCUGUUAUUAGGGAAGAACAUAUGUGUAAGUACCUGUGCACAUCUUGACGGUACCUAAUCAGAAAGCCACGGCUAACUACGUG
rnacentral:rRNA from 1 species